rnacentral:rRNA from 1 species
AGUGAACGCUGGCGGUAGGCCUAACACAUGCAAGUCGAACGGCAGCACAGUAAGAGCUUGCUCUUACGGGUGGCGAGUGGCGGACGGGUGAGGAAUACAUCGGAAUCUACUUUUUCGUGGGGGAUAACGUAGGGAAACUUACGCUAAUACCGCAUACGACCUACGGGUGAAAGCAGGGGAUCUUCGGACCUUGCGCGAUUGAAUGAGCCGAUGUCGGAUUAGCUAGUUGGCGGGGUAAAGGCCCACCAAGGCGACGAUCCGUAGCUGGUCUGAGAGGAUGAUCAGCCACACUGGAACUGAGCCACGGUCCAGGCUCCUACGGGAGGCAGCAGUGGGGAAUUUUGGACAAUGGGCGCAAGCCUGAUCCAGCCAUACCGCGUGGGUGAAGAAGGCCUUCGGGUUGUAAAGCCCUUUUGUUGGGAAAGAAAAGCAGCAGGUUAAUACCCCGCUGUUCUGACGGUACCCAAAGAAUAAGCACCGGCUAACUUCGU